UACAGAGGUCUCAAGCGUUGUUCGGAUUCAUUGGGCGUAAAGGGUGCGUAGGCGGCGCGGUAAGUCGGGUGUGAAAUCUCGGAGCUUAACUCCGAAACUGCAUUCGAUACUGCCGUGCUUGAGGACUGGAGAGGAGACUGGAAUUUACGGUGUAGCGGUGAAAUGCGUAGAUAUCGUAAGGAAGACCAGUGGCGAAGGCGGGUCUCUGGACAGUUCCUGACGCUGAGGCUCGAAGGUCAGGGGAGCAAACGGG
rnacentral:rRNA from 1 species